AUUGAACGCUGGCGGCAGGCCUAACACAUGCAAGUCGAGCGGAUGAAGGGAGCUUGCUCCUGGCUUCAGCGGCGGACGGGUGAGUAAUGCCUAGGAAUCUGCCUGGUAGUGGGGGAUAACGUCCGUAAACGGGCGCUAAUACCGCAUACGUCCUGAGGGAGAAAGUGGGGGAUCUUCGGACCUCACGCUAUCAGAUGAGCCUAGGUCGGAUUAGCUAGUUGGUGGGGUAAAGGCCUACCAAGGCGACGAUCCGUAACUGGUCUGAGAGGAUGAUCAGUCACACUGGAACUGAGACACGGUCCAGACUCCUACGGGAGGCAGCAGUGGGGAAUAUUGGACAAUGGGCGAAAGCCUGAUCCAGCCAUGCCGCGUGUGCGAAGAAGGUCUUCGGAUUGUAAAGCACUUUAAGUUGGGAGGAAGGGCAGUAAGUUAAUACCUUGCUGUUUUGACGUUACCAACAGAAUAAGCACCGGCUAACUUCGUG
rnacentral:rRNA from 1 species